AUCCGUCAUACAAUCAAAGAAAAUUGCUGACUCAAGCAAAGAGAAACAGCGUUGCUGAAAUAUACAGCUUAAAACAGACCAAUUCUGAAGUAACAUGACCGUAUACACUUAAAUGCACUACUCUUUUACGGUCUGUCCCCUACGGAAAAAUUCAACAUAACCAUAACAUAACUUGGAGCGGAUAUUGAAGGU